UACGUAGGGACCAAGCGUUGUUCGGAUUUACUGGGCGUAAAGGGCUCGUAGGCGGCCAACUAAGUCAUACGUGAAAUCCCUCGGCUUAACCGGGGAACUGCGUCUGAUACUGGAUGGCUUGAGUUCGGGAGAGGGAUGCGGAAUUCCAGGUGUAGCGGUGAAAUGCGUAGAUAUCUGGAGGAACACCGGUGGCGAAGGCGGCAUUCUGGACCGAUAUUGACGCUGAGGAGCGAAAGCCAGGGGAGCAAACGGG
rnacentral:rRNA from 1 species